CUUAAUUAACUCUUUGUCCUCCCUCCAAAAACAAACACGGCGAGAAGAAUGCCAGUCUAAUUUCGAACUGGGCUGAAUUCGAUUCUCGUUUGCGGUUUUAUUUGCAAUACUUACCCUUUAUUAGUAUUAUUACAUGCAUAGAGAUAGACGAACGAGGUGGGUUAAAAGCUUGUAAAAUUGUGGGUAUAAUGAGGGUUGAAUUCAGGUGUAAAUUCUGAAAUUUUCGAAACUUGGGACAGAUUUGGUUUAAAUAUUGAGGCAAUUCACGUCAACCUUCGUAACCACGUAUUUAAACUUAGGAAGAUUAGCUUCCGAACCAAAAAACAUGCCUUACAUCUUCGUAAGGUUUUAUAAGUUCGUAAGCAAAAAUUAGCUUCGAGAUGUUCUUGUCACGUGUUCGUAUUUUUUCGUAAGUUAUGGAGUUACGGAGGUUGUCGUGAAUUGCGUAUUCAUGGGCUCAUGCCUGGUAUGCAUCUUGUAAAUAUCUACAGAAUUUUUGUAUUGAUCAUUCAUAGUUUGAAAUGGUGACGAAUUUUGAAUUAUGGACGAAAGAGGGCUUGAUUUCGAUGAGAACUUUUAAAGAAGUAAAUAUUGUUUUCGCCGAUAAUUCCAAAAUCGUCACCAUUUAAAAGUAUGCAUGUACAUCGCCUUUUAAAAUUACGAGAUGCACACCAAAGAUAAGCCCUUAUCUUGUAAACCGCACUGCCUGAUUUUUUGUGCAGUUGCCAUCUUCAUCUUCAAUAAUAAUGUUUACACGGUUUACCAUUUACACGGUGGAUUAUUUUAGACGGCUUGUUAAAGAGACAGGUUAUACGGAGUGAGAGAAAGAACAAAGGGACGAGAUGAGACGGACGUGUGGUUUUCUAUAGAAAAACAAGGUUGGGACGUGCGGGAAGGAUGCUGCCUUAAUUUUUAUGGUGGCAAAUAAUUCAGAAACAAAAUUACAGACAAUUAUUUGUUACCGGAUUUGUAACGAAAUUCAGGUUGUAAAGAUCUACCUGGGAAUAAAUCGUCGGAUGUGUCCUUAAUUUUUAGGGUCACGUCGUUUUCGCAAAUAAUUCAGUGACAAAAUUGGGAAAAUUAUUUGUUGUCGAAUUUUUGCAGCAAAAUUUCUGCCUGGGAGCAAGUCAUUAUUACCAACAUGGUAAUAUCAUAAUACGCAAUAUGCAGCGUGCUUGGAUUUUGUGACAAUUUUGUUACCAUAUUAAAUACUUGAUUUUGAAACGAGGCACGACUUUCAAAACUAAACUGCGUGAUGAUUUUGAUCAUUUUGUGGUCGACUUGAUAGUGGCAUUGAGAGUGAGUCUUAAGCGUGGAAAAUUGGCAAGUUUGUGCAAAAUGCAUGUAUCAAUUUAUGUACCAUUGAAAUUUGCAAUUGGUCACAAUUUUCCUAUCAUUUUGAAGAGUGUGAAAACGAAAUUAUAUUAGGUAGGUUGCGAGUUAGCGGGAGUUCACGUAAACGCUAACGUAAACGUAAAAUUUGGCGUUAACGUUUACGUUUACGGGGUGCACGAAUUUUGUGUGUGCGAAUUAACGUGCACGUAAACUUAUGCGCUGAAUUUGAAUUUCAUUUCAAUGGUUUGUUCGUGCAAAAUAUUCUUCAUGCAAUAUUUUGCUUAUUGUAAUUAUUUAAUUUAUCUUAUUAUAAACUAGCUUGAAAUGCCAGUGUUUUCAAAACAAAUAAUAAAUUUACUCUCUGAAUUGACCGACUUCGAAAUAGAGGACAUUCUUCCUUCAAAUAAUUAAAAUUAAUCAAUUAAAAGAAUUAAAAAUUUUAAAUUAAACUCAAUGAUGAACGAGUUCUUUUUCCUUAACUUUCACCUUUGCAAAAUAAGUUUGAAACCUAAAUGCGCCCUUAAACUUCGGGGCGCGAUUGCUUGUCGGCGGAAACCCUUUGUGCAUUACUCUAAGGAUUGCAUAUCCCAACAGAUACGUCGACUUGAUGUAACUUUUUCCUCCUACUCAUUGCAGUCACGGAUUUUUCAUCACGGCAGCCAAACUUAGGAUAACUUUUGUGAAGCAAUGCCAGAUCUUGAGCAUUAUUUAUAUUUUCCAUGAAAUUGUGUGUAUAAGAAAAUCUAGAUGCCAUGUACUAAGGCUUUAUUUCUGUAUUGUAUAAACAAUAAAUUUACUUGUUUCUAAUUAA